UCCUCAAAACUCACUUGUAUUCUUUGGCGUUCGACUCAGCAUGAUUUGUCCUUGAUUUUACUGCUUGGUGCUUUCCACCGCCUUUAUUACCGAUUCGUCUUACUGUUUAUUGUGUAUGUUAAAUCGCUCCAUGUACAGCACUUUGUAUGCAGCGAUGGCUGUUCGAAAGUGCUCUAUAAAUACUGUUGACUUGACUUGUGUGGUGGAUCCCUCUUUAUUUAAAUACUGUACUCCCCUCUUCCUGGCACCACAGGCACCUGUUGAGGCUAUCUCUGUGCUGUGCUGGGCAAACUCCCCUUAACUUUGAGAAGAAAAAAAAUAUUUAUUCAUCCUUACUUCUGAUUGGGGUGUUGAUCAUUUGAAUGUAUAUGUCCUUCAGGCAGGCUUCUCACAUAAGAAUCGAACCCAGAGGAUCAGUCUGAACCACACUAUUUCAUUGUGUCCUUGAAAGAAUCCAAAUGUAAUUGAAUCACCUCAUAUAACAAGCAGUGAAGGUCAGAGUCAUUUGAUUCGUAACCCCAAGAGAGCCAGGUAAGUUAGCCAAAACCGCUCCUGCGAAAAUACCCUCUCCAUUUAUUACGAAUGUGAUAGGCUUAGUUACCUGGCUACUGCAUAUGGCAGCCCCUUUCAAGCACGUGUCUACCUAAUUGCUCACAUUUUACUGCAUUGAGUCAGUCUUUUUGCAAUUUCAAAGUGAAAUUCAACACUGUGCUGCCUUUUAUUGACAUUUGAAGUGGUGUUUUUAAGUGCACAUUACACCAUACACCAAGGUGCUCACGAACCAUGAUUAGAAGCCAAUCCCCAAGACUGAAAUAUUGUCUGAAAUACACUUACAUACAUACGCAGCAGGGGUGCCCAAACUUUUUGGACCAGAGAUCUACUUUUUGAUCAACCAACCUCCUGCGAUCGACCCGUUACCGUGCACAUGCUGAUACGCACACACUUACACAUGCAUGCCAUGAUGAGCAACCGCCAUAAUGCUCCCUAAGAUGAACAAAACAGAAAAAUAAAGUAGACACAAGAGUUUAUUAAAUGGAAAUCACUGCCUACCGGGAGACCUGACGCGGAGGCAUGCGACGGACUUUUGCAGCCUGUUAACAAUCGUAGCUCACGCGUACCAUUUUAAAAUGCUUCUCUUGGCCCUCCAGAUUGCCAUUCUUUGCGAGUGCUAUCGGUGAAAUGUACACGAAAUGAACAUUGACUGAUGAUAAUCAUAAUAAUAAAAGCUAUAUUGCAACAGCUCUGAUCGCAAGCUGCAAUUACAAUUGACUGCUGAGCGCUAACAACUUCCGGUGACGUAUAGGUUAAAGUUUAUUUUUAAAAAUACUUUUUGUGAAAGUGUGACUGAUAUGAUGAUUAGGGUGCAGUGUGCAUUUACACAAAAAUAUAUUGCAAUAACAUGGACAGAGACACAAAUGUGAAAUUUUUUUCCUUGACACCCCUUGCGAUCGACUUGGAACCACUCCACGAGCUACCGGUCGAUCGCGAUCGACGUUAAUGGGCACCCCUGACCAAAGAGUUUUCAGCGACAAUGUUUAACAUGCUUUGGUUCACAAACAAAACAAAACUGGGCUCUCACCUUGGUCGGUUUACAAUGGGGUUCCUUAUAUUCUAUCAAAGACGUCACUCGCCGGUGAUUGCCGAACAAUUGGAUUUUCGUUGUUAAGUGUGUUGCGAUGGGUCUAACUAUGAACCUUGGUGGGUUGCGAAAGUAUGCUUAAAAUAGUUUUCCCCCUAAGAAUGACUCACAAGAUAGCUGGCCAAGUUUACUUCACGCUUGACCUUCAAAAGAAUCUCCCAGCACACCACCAAUCAAACAUAUUACAAAAAGGAACAGAAAUAAUGAUGAUCCUGAAAUGUACUCACUAAGGGGCAUAAGUCAGAAAAGGUGUGCUGAUGCACACUUUGUUUGACUGUGCAGAUUCUCCAAGUGACUUAGUGUGCCACCUUGAUGAAAUCUUAAGAAACCUUUAUUAGUCUCGCAAUGUACGCAUUCUGGGUGGAGUGACCUUCAAAUGGGUGUCUUCUGUAACAAAUGUGACAAUGCACGCAUUCUCUCAUAGACUUAAGUGUCUUUUGGCUUCUGCGUUCUGGAGACUGUGCUAAGUUCUUGGGCAUUUUGAAGGCCAAACAUCAUAUUGCACGCUAACGGCAGGUGAAAACUCGACCAACUCGGCUGAUUCAUGCUGAUGUCUUGAGUACAAAAUGAUUUUUCUGUUGUAUGAAAGGCAAACUGUGGACAGCAACAGGUCUGCCGUCUAGUGAAAGAGUAGUUAACUGUUUGACCUUUCACUAGCUGGGUUUACAUGAAUACACAUGACUAUCCAAAUAACUCUCAAAUAUUUUUAGAAUACAUUGUUCUGUUGAUUAUCCCACAGAUUAAUCAGAUACAAUUUUAGUGUAUUACAAAACAUUUUUUUUGUUUCUUAACCAAUUAAUGUUCUUUAUUUGGUAUUGUUUAGUGACAAAAACCAACAACAACUGCUAUACAACAAUUAAGCAAUAUCACGAGAGGGAUUGAAGUUGCCAACCUUUGUGAAACUGACUCAGUAAACUCCCGAGUGGGUGUCUGCACACUCCGGGUUGGCAAUAAGUACAUAUGCUACAGGCUUGCUACACAAAGAAACAUGGGGCAUUCAGGUUGCUUUCAUGUCGGGAACUUGCAAAUGCAUAAUUGUUUUUCUCCAUUAUCACAUUUUAAAGAGAGAGAAGCCAAAAUCGAAGUCACAAUUACAUUUUGGUUAAUCGUCCAACCCUACCGUAAAACGAAUCAAAUAUUUGACUGUCACUGUCUGGACGCUGGAAAAAAUUACUGCACAUCAUUUUGUUUUGAUGUCGACCUGGAUCGUGUUUGACUUUGGGGGUGCCAAUAUAAUUCACCUAUCAGAAAAGAAGACAAUAUUUUUUCACACUCAAAUUGUUCCGCAAUGUGUGGAGUGGGAUGUAGCCGUUAAAAAAAGAAUGGGAAUGGAACGAUGUAACCUCAAAAGGUGAAUGACGAAACCAGCCACAGACUGAUAUUGGGAGGAAGAGGUGGGAAGAUUGGAGGCCUUGGGCUUUUGUAGCGUGACUGCGACUGGGAGCCCCUCUUGUCUGUGUUUUCACUGGGUGGUUUUGUCUGUGGGUUAUCGAAAACAUUUCAGGAAUUUCCCUCUGAGCUCCAUUCAGGAGAAGCCUGUCAAAAGCAAGUAUGGUAGCUUUUUAGGAUUCCUCUUCAUUGCCUCCUAGUUAGCAGGUUCAGUCAUUGUCAACUCUGAUGGACAUAACAUGUAGCUGCCAGACUGGAUCAGAUUACGACUAAAAAAGCAGGCCAGGGCCCGAAGAGGUUUUUGUGUAUUAAUAGUUCAGUGUGUUAGUGGAUUAGGUUAAGAGUUGGCUGCAAAACUUAACACAACAAAGAGAAUCACACAAUUUGGAUAAUUAAGGACAAGACAUGCCUUGUUCGCCAGUACUAAUGCUAAGGUCAAUGUAAAAUCCCUUUGACAUGCUAACAGGAAAUUAACGUCGACUUCCGUGAGUUCACCAUCAAUCGAAAUCAUAGUAAAGGAUUUUUUUUUCCAUUUAGGCUGCCAACCUUACUCAACAAGUCACAAUGACGUCGACAAUCAAAAUCACUUAUAAUUUAAUCGUUGACAAAUUGUUUAUACAUUUAUUUAUUGGCCGCUUUGUUUUUCUGUCGAAUCUGCCAUGUCUUCCACUUCUCCCUCUGGCUGUAUGCCUGCCUAUGACACACAUGCACAGUCCCGUAGUGGUAAUCUGGGUCAUCCGUGAUGUAAACAGAAGCAUUAUGGGUAAUGCAUUGUCAUGGCUUACCCGCCAUGUCAGUAAUAGAGUCCUAAAGUUCGAGCUCAUUUCACUCAAAAAUUCCCUUUCAUAGAAGCACAGUUGUGCUAAACAAGCAUCUAAAAAGGAAGCACAUGGGUCAUGCCUGAUUUCAUUUCUGCCAUAGGUUUGUGUUUGGAAGCUACCAUUAGCGCACACAGGCCACCUUGUCCGUUAUUGGAACACAAUGUCUUGUUUGGAAAAAUAACAUAUUGUAGCAUCUACUAUGGAUUACGAGGGCAUUAGUGAUUGGACUCACAUUUAAUAACAACCGAAACACCGAUUAAAAAAAAAAAAUAAUAAUAA